rnacentral:misc_RNA from 1 species
GAUGAAGAACGUAGCGAAAUGCGAUAAGUAAUGUGAAUUGCAGAAUUCAGUGAAUCAUCGAAUCUUUGAACGCACAUUGCGCCCCUUGGUAUUCCGAGGGGCAUGCCUGUUCGAGCGUCAUUAUAACCCCUCAAGCUCAGCUUGGUGUUGGGGCCUGCUGCACUGGCAGCCCUUAAAAUCAGUGGCGGCGCCAUCUGGCUCUAAGCGUAGUAAUUCUUCUCGCUAUGGAGUCCUGGUGGAUGCUUGCCAUCAACCCCCCAUUUUUCUAUGGUUGACCUCGGAUCAGGUAGGGAUACCCGCUGAACUUAAGCAUAUCAAUAAGCGGAGGA